rnacentral:rRNA from 1 species
UUACGGGAGGCAGCAGUGGGGAAUAUUGGACAAUGGGCGCAAGCCUGAUCCAGCCAUGCCGCGUGGGUGAUGAAGGCCCUAGGGUUGUAAAGCCCUUUCGGCGGGGAAGAUAAUGACGGUACCCGCAGAAGAAGCCCCGGCUAACUUCGUGCCAGCAGCCGCGGUAAUACGAAGGGGGCUAGCGUUGCUCGGAAUUACUGGGCGUAAAGCGCACGUAGGCGGCUUCUUAAGUCGGAGGUGAAAUCCUGGAGCUCAACUCCAGAACUGCCUUCGAUACUGGGAGGCUCGAGUCCGGGAGAGGUGAGUGGAACUGCGAGUGUAGAGGUGAAAUUCGUAGAUAUUCGCAAGAACACCAGUGGCGAAGGCGGCUCACUGGCCCGGUACUGACGCUGAGGUGCGAAAGCGUGGGGAGCAAACAGGAUUAGAUACCCCGGUAGA